CCCCUCCCUUUCCACAACUGUCUCACCAUCGUGAAAACCAUGGAGUACCCUGGCAAAGUGGUUGCUGGCCUAUGAGAACUCCAUGUCCUUCCACUUUAGCAACUACUUUGUGGGAUAUUUCAGCGAGACCACUGCUACUCUGGCUGGAGCAGGCUUCACGGAGGAGAAGGACAACCUC